CUGGCGACCGGCGCACGGGUGAGUAACACGUAUCCAACCUGCCGAUAACUCGGGGAUAGCCUUUCGAAAGAAAGAUUAAUACCCGAUGGCAUAAUUAGACCGCAUGGUUUGAUUAUUAAAGAAUUUCGGUUAUCGAUGGGGAUGCGCUCCAUUAGGCAGUUGGUGAGGUAACGGCUCACCAAACCUUCGAUGGAUAGGGGUUCUGAGAGGAAGGUCCCCCACAUUGGAACUGAGACACGGUCCAA
rnacentral:rRNA from 1 species